GCCCAGACUCCUACGGGAGGCAGCAGUGGGGAAUAUUGCACAAUGGGGGGAACCCUGAUGCAGCGACGCCGUGUGGGCGAGGAAGUAUUUCGGUAUGUAAAGCCCUAUCGGCAGGGAAGAAGAAAUGACGGUACCUGAAUAAGAAGCACCGGCUAAAUACGUGCCAGCAGCCGCGGUAAUACGUAUGGUGCAAGCGUUAUCCGGAUUUACUGGGUGUAAAGGGAGCGCAGGCGGCACGGCAAGCCUGAUGUGAAAGCCCGCGGCCCAACCGCGGGACUGCAUUGGGAACUACCGGGCUGGAGUGCCGGAGAGGUAGGCGGAAUUCCUGGUGUAGCGGUGAAAUGCGUAGAUAUCAGGAGGAACACCGGCGGCGAAGGCGGCCUGCUGGACCGCGACUGACGUUGAGGCUCGAAAGCGUGGGGAGCGAACAGGAUUAGAUACCCGGGUA
rnacentral:rRNA from 1 species